CUACUUUUGGAGCGCAAUUCAAAACAUUCAUGUAAAAAUUAAAUGUAGUUAUAGCACUCUACUUUUGGUGCGGAAUUCAAAACAUUCAUGUAAAAAAUUCAAAAAACCUUCUAGCAUGAACUACAUUGACAGGGUUGCAUAGUACUUUACAAUGGUUUUCCUUUGAUAUAGCAUCAUGUGAAUUGUAGAUGUUCAAAGGGUAAUAGUUAAUUAGAAAAAAAUGUGAAGAAAUUUUUUUUAAUAUCUAAAUAAAUGGAGAGAGAGAGAGAGAGAGAGAGAGAGAGAGAGAUUUCUUUUCUUUAUUUACAUGUAUAUCUGUUGAUUACAGUUCAGAUACUGGGUUUGUGAGUUGAAAUUAAUCAAAUGAGAGUGGUAAAAAUCCACCUUUAUAUGUAUAAUUUACAUAUCAGGAUUUUAUCCAGGUACGUUAUUCUGGUUUGUGGAAUGCUAAUUCAUACUAAGUUAGAAUAAUCUAAGCUGUAUACCAAAGUAGGUCUUCAUGGGGCUUUACGGCUCUAUGCAUCGUAAAUAGAGAUCGGGUUCAAUGCGUCGGGUGUGGGAUUCACACAAUAUAUGCUGAGCGCGAAAGUUGAUAUUGACAGGCGCCAUAAUGUUAUACCGGUGUAACCGUGGUGGCGGUCGCUGGUGCUCAGGGUCGCUCUUAAUAGAAUAUAUAGGGAAAAGAACGACUCGGAUCACCGGCUUCUGCGCAUGCGUGGUAUUUAACUCGAAGCGGUGCCCUACUGGUUUUAAAUCCAUAGUAAUAAUAAACCCCCUUCUCAGUUUUCUGUUUCGUAUGCACAUCAUAACUUGAAAGAUACAAAUUAACUUGUAUUAUCCAACUCCAAAAUUGAUAUUUUAAUGCAUAAGAUUUCUGAAUUAUGUCUAAGAUAUCUAAUAACGAAUAAACAACUUGAAAACAAUGGCUGUUUAUUCAAAGCAUAUUUACAAUAGUGUUAUCUCCAUAACAAUUCCUAAGUCAUCUUUUAUAUUUUAAUCACAUGACAACAGGUGUGAACAAGGCACAGCUAGACGCCUUAAACUUGGAUUAACGUGCAGGUGUAAACAAUUACCUGUAAAUAAAAUAACACCAGGUUAUUCUACCGUGACCAAUCUUCGUAAUCAUAAGUACAAAUACCACUCGCCCAAUUUACGAACAAUACGUAGGCACAUAUUCAACAUUGUUUUAUUAUUUAUUUAUCUAUUUUGCAUAGUAUGUUUCUUCUCUCACCCUCUUUUAUUUCAAAUAUAUUUUCUGAUUAUCUGAAUUCAAAUUAUCUCCGAUAUGCGAACAACCACACAUCUACUGUAUACAACUUGGAGGUUUACUUUGGGUGUUUUUGUACAAAAGUGGAAGACUUUCCUAUUACGAGAUAAUUCUUUUUGUGUUAAAAUUUAACCAACUAGACUCUAUAUACAUGUACAUAUAGCAGGAUCGUGUAUAGGAACCAGCAGGCAUGAGGGAUCGUGCCAUCCUUCUUAUUCCCAAUAAAAACCAUAAGACAACAAAACUAACGUCUGGCGGCUUUUUUCGUCUUUAUUUACCUAAUAUCUAUAUAUUUAUUGUCAAGGUCAACGUAUAUCUGUUCACUUAUGCCCCAACUAUAAUUGCUUACAAAGGACACGUUUCAGUUUCACGAAAUUAGUCAAAAUAGGAUUCAUGUUUGGUAUACGGACAAAAAGUCACAGGAUAAACGUCACUGGACAGAAAGUCACAAAAUAUGUAGAAAAGUCACAAAAAUGACUUAGCAAAUGAGACCCCAUAUAUACUUUUAAGAUAAUAAUAACAGGUGGUACCCAAAUGCUCACUAAAGCUGUUGUUCAGACACCAGACAUUUCUUACAGUGGAUAGGAGGUACAAGGGAAUACAUGUCAUCAUUAUUGAUGUUUGUUUUGCCACAUUUAGCACCUUCAGUUCAUUAUUAAAUGUUCAUUAUCAGAUAAUAAGAAAGGAAAAAUUAUUAACUUGUUUAUAUAUCAAUUAUUAUAUGAUAGUUCACUUACUUCUUGUUUUGACAAUGAUCUGGAGUAAAAGGAAGCCAACCAUAAUUCUGUCAUCAGAUUUUGUUUUGACAAUCAUUACAUGUAAUAUGUAGUAUACUAAACCAAAUGAUCAUCAAGCUUAUUUCAUCGAAAUAAGAAAUCUCUUUUUAAAAAUCAAAAUGAUAUUUUACAAUAAAUAUGAUAAAAGGAAUAACAAUUUUAUAAUUAUUAUCAAAAUCUCAUAGAAAAUAUAAAAUUUGCAUAUAUAUUUUCUUAAACUUUACAAAAAGAACAGAUAUGUUUUCAAAUAUAUAUAAAAAAUCAAUAGUUUUUUAUUUUCUUAUAAACUGUGACUUUUUGUCCUAUGACAUUUUGUUCUACUAUCAUAAAAUUCUAAUUGUGACUUGGUCUUAUUUUCUUAUAAAAUUGUGACUUUUUGUCCUGUGACAUUUUGUCCUACUUUCAUAAAAUUUCUUAUUGUAACUUUUUGCCCAUGGUCAUAUUGGCCGUGUCUUUUUGUAAUUUGUAAAGCUGUAAAUGGUUUGAAAGGUACAUAAUUUCAGCACAAUGUAUAUAUUAAUUAUGACUUUAAAAGUUGAAAUAUUUUCAUGAUCCUGGUUCUAAUUAGGAACAUUUAUUUGAAUCAUUUUUUAUAUAUCAUAAAAUUACAAUUUUCUUAUAUCAAAUUCAUGACAAGGAACUACGUAAAAAUGAGCAGUACUUUGAGUGAAUCUCAUUCUUUGCAGUCAGCCAAUAUGACAGGACUGGCUUCACGAGUAUGUACAAAAGCCAUGGUAUCGACGUCCAGUUGUUUAAUAUCAUCAUGAAAGCUGCUGUCUUUGGAUCGUCUUUUGUCUCGCGUCUCGGAAGAUCUACCGAAGCAGACCCGAGAAUAAAAUAUUUUGGAGUUGGUGGCAUGACAGCAAAGGAGCCAAAUCAAACCUGCCUGCAAAACCUGCUUCAGUAUUCCCCUGAUCGAAUUUUCAUUCAUCUCGGUGGAAACGACAUUAGCGUUGACGGACAACCUAAGAAGGUGACUGAAAACGUCCUACAACUGGUGCAGGUCCUAGAAGACAGCGGAGUUGGAACUGUUCUCGUGGGACAGAUUUAGGAGAGAAAAAAUGGGGAAAAUAAUUAUUUUGAAUUAAUUAUGAGCGUCGGUGUCUGGGGUCGCUCUUCAGAAUGACCGUUUCAUAUUUUGUCAGAACUGACUAGGGUAUGGUCUGUAAAAGUUGCACAAGGUGCAAAUGGGUGGCGGUUUGAUUUGAAAUAGCUAAUUUAAGUGUAGUUUCAGGAUUCGGGAGAGAAAAAAUGGGGAAAAUAAUUAUUUUGAAUUAAUUAUGAGCGUCGGUGUCUGGGGUCGCUCUUCAGAAUGACCGUUUCAUAUUUUGUCAGAACUGACUAGGGUAUGGUCUGUAAAAGUUGCACAAGGUGCAAAUGGGUGGCGGUUUGAUUUGAAAUAGCUAAUUUAAGUGUAGUUUCAGAAUUCAGGAGAGACAAAAUGGGGAAAAUAAUUAUUUUGAAUUAAUUAUGAGCGUCGGUGUCUGGGGUCGCUCUUCAGAAUGACCGUUUCAUAUUUUGUCAGAACUGACUAGGGUAUAGUCUGUAAAAGUUGCACAAGGUGCAAAUGGGUGGCGGUUUGAUUUGAAAUAGCUAAUUUAAGUGUAGUUUCAGAAUUCGGGAGAGAAAAAAUGGGGAAAAUAAUUAUUUUGAAUUAAUUAUGAGCGUCGGUGCCCAUUGCCAAUUGUGUUCCUCACUUACCCCUGGAGGGUUAAGAUUUGAGCAAACUGCUUCACUACUUGAAGAUGCUUACAUAUAACUAUGAAUAAUCAUGACUUUGCUGUUCUUGAGAAAAAGAUUUUUACAGUUUCUUCCUAUGUAUUUGUAUGUAAAACUUUGAUCCCCUAUUGUGUCCCAUUCAACACCCGGGGGCCAUGAUUUGAGCAAACUUGAAUCUGCAACUAUGUCAGGAAGCUUUCAUGUAAAUCUCUGCUUUUCUAGCUCAGUGGUUCUUGAGAAGAAGAUUCUUAAAGAUUUAUUCUAUAUAUUUGUAUGUAAAACUUUGACCCCCUACUGUGGUCCCAUUCAACACCCGGGGGCCAUGAUUUGAACAAAUUUGAGUCUGCAAUAUGCCAGGAAGCUUCAAUGUAAAUUUUAGCUUUUUUGGCCCAGUGGUUCUCGAAGAUUUUUAAAUGAAACCCACCCUAUUUUUGCAUUUUUAUGAUUAUCUCCCCCUUUGAAAGGCUCAUGGCCCUUCAUUUGAACAAACUUGAAAGCCCUUUACCCAAGGAUGCUUUGGGCCAAGUUUGGUUGAAAUUGGCUUAGUGGUUCUGGAGAAAAUGUAAAAAGUUUAGACAGACAACAGACAACAGUUGAUCAUAAAAGUUCACUUGAGGUUUCAGCCGGUUUUGCUAUUUUGAUAUAUAACCUAUCAAACUCCAGUAAGAUGAGGGUGAUACCAGACAGUCAACAUUAGAAAGUGCACUGUUUCAAAAUUACUUGUUGAUAUAUUACAAAUAUGCGUGAUGCUGUUUUAUAACUGACCUUUAGGAUGUUUCUUGGUGUUUGAAAUUAACCAUAGACCGAGUCUAUGUCAAAUGGCACUGGUCUAUAACAAUUGUAAUUGGGAUAUAACAAAACGUGUAUGUUAAUUUUCUUAGUUUAAAGCAAUUGAGUUAUCCCACAAGUCAACGUCUGAUAAACGUUAUGAGGAAAAGAGAACACUUUUUUGGAAAUGGAAAGAAAAUAUGCUUUAUAAGUACUUUAAAAGUCAAUAAAAAUGUUUUAAAUUUGUGUUAUUUUUUUCAAUGUUGCGAUCUAUGUCAAUUCGAUGAGGUCUAUGUCAUCUAGUUUUGGCAUAAACCCAGUCUGUACUAAGUUUUAAACGAAUUUCGAAAACUGCUUUUCUGUUACUUUAAUUCAGAAAAAUAUACUGACAACACGUCACACCAGCAUAUUUCUUUUCUGUUUUACCACACCCAAACAUAUAAAAGAUGUGGUGACUACAAAUGAAGGGAAGAAAUGCAUUAAAAUGCACCAUUUUAAAUCAUUCUUUUUAAAUGGGUUAACCUCCCCCCAAACCCCACAGUAAAGUAUAGAUUUGCCACUGUAUUUGAGUGCAACCUGAUGUUAUUAAAGAACAGACGUAGCUCAAAAAUUGCAAAUUCACAUGAAAUUAUGCUACUCUACAGAUUACUUCGAAAAAAAUGUACAAUUCAAAUCCAACAAAAAAAUCAACAGACUGAUUGCAAUGGAUCACAGAUUAAAAUGUAUCACAAUGAGGGAAAUUGGGAUGUUUUGGAGAAUUGACAAAUUUAAUGCAGAAAGAAUUAAAAGGAUCAGUAAAUGAUGUCAUAAUACUUGCCCUUUGACCCCUAAAUAUCAAGGCUCUACCAUAUAGAAAUUUCAUGCAAAUGAUUAUGCACAUUUUUACUGUAUGCUCGAGAAUGUCCAAUAUAUAGGAUGUUCUCUAUUCGUUUUUCACAGGGUAAAUAAUUCAUAUUGUUCAUUCCAAAGAUAAUUGAUUAUUGCAUUAGUAUAAAUUUUCUUCUGGCAUGUUUUCAAAGAAAUGAAUUUAAACUAAUUUCACGUGUUUUGAACUACGUGAAGUAAAUUAUUUUAAUGGGAUAUGAACUCCACAUCUCCAUUCUUAACAUUAAUUCAACAUAAAUUAUCCACUUUUCAAAUACUGAAUGUCUGAUGUCAUCAUUGAAAAACACUAGAUAUAUCUAUAGAUAUGAUGUUUACCUAGAAAUGUAAACCUGAGUCGGUCAAAAACAGGCACCUAUCUUCUUAGUCAGGUUAGUGUUACAUAACCAUGAUAAGUUUAUUGGAUUGGCUAGUUGUGCUUUGUGCUCAUUUAAUUACAAAUGAAAAUUAGUCAUGGGGCUUGGAUUAUUCUGACCACAAACUAUGUCGAAAAUCUGCUUUAAAUUCAUAAUUCAUAAGUAAUUGCGCAAAAAAUUAAAACUAAAUACCUAAGCAUUUCAGCACCUACAUAAAAAUAUUUCAUUGACAUAGCUGAUGGCUUUUCGAUAUUAAAAAACACAAUAGAGGAAAUUCGAGUCACAACUUUGUUUUGAAUUAAACUGGUACAGUGUGAUCAUGAUUCGCAUUUAUUCAUACUAGUAAUUAAAUCAUAGACAAUAAAAACAAUAUUAUUUACUUUUUCUUUUUAAACCACUAUCUUACUUUCAAGGUGUUAUCAUAAUCAUAAUGAUACAAAUCAGUCGAGACUCGACGCUCGAGUACAGGACGACAUUGGUGGGAUGCCGAUCUCGAUGAUUCUUGCAUGUAAAAUGAAUAAUUAUUAGUAAGUUUCUGUUGAUUUUUUUUGCUAAAGGAGCUGCACUAGUUAUAUAAUUUAAUAUAUUAGUUAAAAUGCACGUCUUCUUAUUAAAAUAUGUGCAUAAAUGAAGUUCAUAUGCCGAUCACAAUUUCAGAUGUAGAAUUAAAAAACCAAAGCAUUUUCUGGUUUUUAAAACAAAAUAAUUCAAUAAUACCAAUUGUUUUAUUGUCUUUUGGUUUUUUUUUCAUCACCAAACUUCACACUAAUUGCUGAUUACAACCAUAUAAAAUGUUUACAAUUACCUAUGGGUCGAAUUAUGCGAGCGUCGAACAACAGGGCUACCGCUAUAUUUAGAGCGACCCUGAGCACCAGCGACCGCGAUCACCGCUACACCUGUAAACAACAUUUUGAACAUGAAUCGAGAACAGGAGUUGAAUCAGUUGAUGCAGAUAUUCUGAGGAGAAUCUUCCAGUCAUUGAAAUAUAUUUCAUGAUAGUCAUGCAGAUUCAGAAGUUGUGAUGGUGUGUUGAUAAGGCUGUCUUCAACUUGCCAUAUCUUAGAGUUCCAACAUGCAGGCCUGGAUUAAUGUGUAUAAAUCACUAAUGAAAAAAAGAAUGACAUUUCAAUUUAUACACACUUGCCAAGUGAAUCUGAUGAGACUGCUAUAUGUAUUUGUGAGUAAAGGCACUCUGUCUUAACCGAAAAACUAUUUACAGUUUAUCACAACAAAUGGAUGGGACAGUAGAGCUGUUGCGGACAAUAUGUGAUUGUGAUGACCAAGUACUGAACAAGUGGAAGAUUAGAAGAAGGUCCAGAAUUCAAUCAUGCUUUUGAUUCUAAGGUGCAGACAGCAUGGAGAUAGUCCUAUUAUUCUCCCGUUCAUCUAUGAUGGAGAAACUUGUGUAAAUGUUUAGUGUUCUCCCUAAUAAUUAAGUGCCCACAAGUCUAUUAAUUUAUCAGAAUAUAAAGUCCUUCACAGUAUUGAUUUUAAAAUUAAUGUAGAUUGUCUCCAGAUUUUUCUGAGGAAAAGUGCAUAGUUUACAUGUGUGAAUUUUGAAUAUAUUUCAUUCUUGUCUGCAAAUGUUGCCGAAACCUGUUGUUAUUGAUGCACAGUCAUGUUAUGCAAAUGAUAGACCUCCUUCUAAUUACAUGUACAGAAGAUCAUGUCAACUCCUUUGUCUUAAUUGUAUACACAAUUCUAGCAUUUAUAGCAUCAUUUAUAUAGCACUUGCUAGUUUAAGAAGGAUUUUAUUUUCUAAAAGCUUUCAUUUGACAUGAUUGAUCUAAAACGGCCAAAAUUCACAAAUCUAUUUAAAUCACAACCUGACCUUAUGUCAGAAAAGUGCCACUGUGGGUUGAUAUUUUUCUCUUGGAUCUUGAAAGAAAUUCUUUAUGCAGCAGUUUCCAAAUAAAAUGUACUCUCAUGGCCAGGGUGGGACUUCACCGAGAACUUUUUAACAUUGCACAAUGCAAUAUUUGUAGAUUAGAAGUUGUUGCAGUUUCUUUAAGUUUUCUCUCACAUCUUGUUAUAAUUAUAUUUUAUAUUUUUGGUUGGGUUGCAUAAUGUGCAAACAGUUUAUAAAAUGGUGAAUGACUCAGUGGUGGGCAAGCGACAGUAGCGUCCCUGUAAUAGUACCUACUUUGUGUAAUCAACUCCUUUCACACCUCUCACUUGAUGUUCCUUAAACUUUGUACAGUUGUUAGGGAUACAUUGAAGAUGUGCAUGUGCCUUUUUGAAAGUGAUCAGACAUUUUUUGAAAAAUUUACAUGUAGUUGAACUUCGUCAUUUUUAAGCAUUUCUUUAAUCGACAGUACCUAUUUUGUGUAAUCAACUCCUCGUAUACCUCUAACUUGACAUUCCUCAAACUGUGUACAUUUGUUUUGAACACAUUGAAAAUGUGCAUAUGUGUUUUUGAAAGUGAUCAGACAUUUAAAAAAAAAUGUAUAUGUAGUUGAACUUAGUCAUUUUUAAGCAUUUCUUGAAUAGAUAGUAACUAUUUUGUGUAAUCAAAUCUUCAUGCACCUCUAACUUGGCAUUCCUUAAACUUUGUACAGUUGUUAUGAACACAUUGAAGAUGUGCAUGCAUCUUUUUGAAAAUGAUUAGACUUUUUAAAAAAAAAAAAUUAUGUGUAGUUGAACUUGGUCAUUUUUAUGCAUUUCUUGAAUUGAUGGUACCUAUUUUGUGUGAUCAACUCAUGCACAUCUAAAUUGAUAUUCCUCAAACUUUGUACAGUAGUUAUGAACACAUUGAAGAUGUGCAUGUGUCUUUUUUGAAAGUGAUCAGACUUUUUUCAAAAAAAUUACAUUUAGUUGAACUUUGUCAUUUUUUUUAAGCAUUUCUUGAAUAGAUGGUACCUAUUUUUUGUAAUCAACUCCUUUUUACAGCAUUUAUUUGACAUCCUUCAGACCUUGAACAGCUGUUAUGGAAGCAUUGUAAAUGUGCAUGUGUCUUUUCGGAAGUGAUCAGGCAUUCUUUGAAAAAUUUACAUGUGCAUGGUGAAGUUGAACUUAGUCAUUUUUUAAGCAUGGUACUUUAUGUAACCAACUCAGCUUUUACUUAACAUUUUCCAGACCCUGUACAUUAUAGAUGUUUUAAACACAUUGAAGAUAUUCAUGUAACAUUUUAAAAAUGCUUCUCUUUUUUUUCUCUCUCUCUCUCUUUUUUGUUGUUGAAAAAUUCUACCUUUAAUUUGUCAUUUUCCCAGUAUAUGUUUCUACUGUUGUUCCUAUGAUAGAUAACAUAUUUUACAAGAACCUGGUCAUUUCUGUUUUUGAAUAAAAAUUUUUCAAAAUUUAGUAUUUUUGAAUAUGUUAAUUACUUGAUAUGUCAUUGUUCUUGAAAUUAUAUUAAUUGAAUUGUUA